rnacentral:misc_RNA from 1 species
UACGAAGGGUGCAAGCGUUGUUCGGAUUUAUUGGGCGUAAAGCGCGCGCAGGCGGACAAUUAAGCCAGAUGUGAAAUCUCAGGGCUCAACCCUGAAACUGCGUCUGGAACUGGUUGUCUUGAGUAUCGGAGGGGGAAGCGGAAUCUCGCAUGUAGGGGUAAAAUCCGUAGAGAUGCGAGGGAACACCAGAGCCGAAGGGGGCUUCCUGGACGAUUACUGACGCUGAGGCGCGAAAGCGUGGGGAGCAAACAGG